UGGAUGGCAUCAUUGACUCAAUGGACAUGAGCUUGAGUAAACUCCGGGAAUUAGUGAUAGACAGGGAAGCCUGGGGUGUUGCAGUCCAUGGGGUCGCAAAGAGUCGGACACGACUGAGUGAUUGAUCUACCCUAUUCAUAUUCAAGUUUUAGUAUUUGUGUUAUAGUUACUUGUCUCCAUCUCUACCACUGGACUAGGAACUUUUUAGUGUAUUCAUCUCUCACCUACCUUCCAGAUGGUGAGGGGCAGGGAGGCCUGGCAUGCUGCAGUCCCCGGAGUCACAAAGAGUUGGACAUGACUGAGUGAACAGCAACAACGAUCUCUCACAUUGGCUGUUUCCCCCGGGUGUCCGGGAAGCUCUUCCUUCAGACGGUAGCACAGCCAGCUUCUCCUCCUCCAGGGCUGUGCUCAAAUGUCACCUCUGUGAGGCUCAUCUUGACCAUUCUGUUUAAGGUUAUAGCCCUUACUUCCAGCACUCCCCGUCUUCUCUGCCCGGCUCAGUUCUACCCUUUUCCCCCAUCCUGUAUACUUACCACCUUCUGAGAGGCUAUAUAAUAAUUUUCGUAUUUAUUUUUGUUGUGCUUUAUCUGUUUUCUACCCCUGCUGGGAUGGCGGCUCCCUGAAAGGAUCUUGAUUUUGCUCACAGAUAUGUCUUAAGGACUUAGAAUAAUGCCAGAAGAUAGUAGGUGCUCAGGGCUUCCCAGGUGGGACAGGGGUAAAGAAUCUACCUGCCAAGUCAGGAGACACAGUGUCCAUCCCUAAGUCGGGAAGAUCCCCUGGAGAAGGAAAUGGCAACCCACUCCAGUACUGUUGCCUGGAGAAUCCCAUGGACAGAGGUACCUGGCGGGCUACAGUCCAUAGAGUGGCAGAGUCAGAUACUUCUGAAUACACAUGAGUAGGUGCUCAGUAAGUAAUUGUUGAAUGAAUGAAUGAGUAUUUUACUUAGCUGAGUACUCUGUAAACACUCAACAAUUUUGAUGACUUAAAAAACCAGUCAGAAAAACGUAUCGGUGGUUCUCAAAGUAAGCCCUGCAGCCCUAGUUUCAUGGAAACCCCAGAUCUGAAGCCAGUGUAAUGAUGGCUUAGAUGGUAUGUUCAUCUCAGGUAUGUUUUUCCUGUAUAGGUCUAUGCUGAAAGAAAAAAAUCAAAAGAAUUGAGUAUUCUUCUACAAGCAUGGAGCUUUUCUUUCUUGUGUUAUGCAUUUUUUAAAAAAACCUUUAUUAAAUUACUAGAAUGCAAAACAAAACACAAGGAAAAAUGGUUCAUGGUACACAAUUUUAUAUUCUAUUGUAAAAAUGGGCUAGACAUGGCUUUUAAAUGCACACUUAUUUAGAAAUUCCUAACACUACUACAUCUGGGAUAAAAGUUUCCUUAACUUUCCAAAAUGACAGACUAAUAACCGACUAAAAAUUGUAAUUUAUAGUGAAAAUUGAAAUAGACCAUUUGUAAAUACAGUGGCAAGAUAUUUCAACAUGAGCUUUACUCAAAGGAAAAUAAGAUAGUCUUAUCAUCUCUAAUUCACUUACUAUAUUGGUAAAAUAAUAGUUUUAUUUUUUUCUGAUCCUAGGAUCAAAAUUAAAAUUAUGCGAUCUUAAGAUUUUGUUUUGUUUUGAUUUUUCACACUGAAAUAUAAGAUUUAUGACUUAAAAGUGCCCUAAGAUUUAGGUUACAGGUUUGAUUUACUUCUUAACAAGAAUUUUAAAAGCCUUUCAACAUUUUAUAGACAUUGUGAGAAUCCCAUUUGAACCUUGUCACUGACCCUCUGCUGAAGGAGUGAACCCAGGUAAAACAGACAUUGGCUAAUAGACAAAUGUUUUUACUUUCUGGAUGUACUACAGUGAUCAUUACUUUCCUCUCUUGUUAUCUUUAGUUGUUAGUGAUAGUUUUCUAGUUGAAAGUUAUCAUAUAAUUUAGGAAGAAAUAAGAAAUUUGUAGCUUAAUUUUUCCAUGGGUUUUGCACUCUGACAGCCUGAGAUUUGAGUCAGUAUAUCUUUUUUACUGUUUGUCCUUUUUAAGUUAUGUUAUAACCUCUCUGAACCUCAGUUUCUGUAUCUGUAAAAUGGACAUGACAUCUACCUCCUAGAAUUAUUGAGAGGAUUAAAUGUAGUUAUGAGAAAGUGCCUAGAAAUAUGUCUGGCACAGAGUAGUUACUCAAAUUUUAAUUUUCUUUUCUUCUUCCAAUUCUUGUUUGAAUCAUUUUUAAAGAGAACUUGUGAGGAAAAUACUAUCCCAAGAGAAUUAUUUUAGAAAAAUAAUUAUCAAUAAAAUAUUUCAGCACACUGAAAUACCUGAUCUGGUUAUCUUCUAAAGUACAGUUUUAACCUCAGAAUUCCCUGUAAUAAAAAUGAUAAUUUAAUACUGUAUUUGUUUAGACAGUGUUAGUUAACUGCUCACUGUGAUUCUCAUAGCAGACUUCUGAGGGUGGUGGUACGUGGAGAGAGACCCACUUGUCUAAGGUCCCAUGACUAGGAAGCAGACAGAGGCAGAGAGUGAACUCUAAUUCAAGACAAUACUGGAUUCGAGGCAACAAUAUGGAACCAGCUUUGAUAUACAAAGAGACUGUGGGCGUAUUUUAGCAAAUAAAUGCCCUUUGAUUGGGUUCAGGGUGGAUCUGAUAUACGCCAAGCUUACUCCGUAAGGCACGGUGUUGUGAUUAGAUACCAAGGCAGCAAUGUUACCCGUUCAGUUAUGCUGCGUGUUGUCUGUGUAUACACACACACUCGUGGCUUCAAAGUACUCUAUUAAGCAUUUAAAUAAAGAGAAAAGUCUUUUCCUCACAUACUUCUAAGUCAAUUUAGGGGUCAUUGAACAGAUGUCAUAUAAUACUAAUGUCAAAUUACCCUGUGUAAUAAGAAAAUUACAGUACCUGAGUGAAGAUAGUAAAGGGAAACCAUCCAAUGAAUUAUUCUAGAAUUUCAAAAUGAAAUGAUUUCUUCGAAAUUAACAGUGGCACCACACGACUUUAGAAAAGUGAGUCUGAUAGGGAGAAGGAAAAUUAGAGACAAAAGUGAAGCCUUUCUGUGUUUAUAUACGCCAGGUUUUGGUUAUGAUGCUAGGAGAGCUAAUGUAAGAGUAUAGCUUUCAACUGUCCAGGAAAGCAUAUUAUUAUUAAACUAUGUGGCAAGAAAUUUAUUAAAAUUUGACUAACUUCUCAUUGUUUCAUAUUAAAUCACAAUAGUUUCUAGUCCACACACACUUCCUUUUGCUAUUAGGCACACUUUAAAAGCCUAAUUAUUUUGAGAACAUAGUAUGACCAAAGAAUAAAAAUGUACAAAGUUUGACAACUUUAAAUAAACACUAGCAUUUCUUAAAGAACAAACCUCACUUACAGUUAGGAAACAAUAUUUAUAUUUAAGGUUGAAAAGCCAGGAUGUAGGAAAAUUUUGUUAAUUUGGAAGAUGACCUUUAAGUGCACCAAAACCAAAUAAUUUGUAGGCUAUGACAUAGGGCACAUUCCUAUGAAAUUUGUGUGAAUGCUGCUUUAGUGGUUCUUGAAAGACAAACAAAGAAAGCUGGAAUGAAAUCUUUACCCCCGCCACCCCCCCCCCCCCCAAAUAAGACGGAGCCUAACAAAAGAAUACAGCAGUACGCUUUCAAAGCUUGCCAUUAAAACGAGGUCUCUGUAGCACGACUAAUGAGAUGGUUCAUAGUGGAAAACAAUCUGUUUUUAAGAAUGUUUAGAUCAAAAGUAAUUUCUAAUCUAUGAAAUAAAGUCUUUUCAAUACCCUUCAUUCACCAGCAAAGCUUUUAUGUUUGUAUUAUUUACUUCAAUCAGAUGUUUUCAAUUUUACCUUUUCUCCUUGUACAAAUACUUGACAUGGUUCGUCAAUACUGACCAACAGUUUUAUUCUUUUUCUUCAGAAAAGAGAGAUUUUUGGAGAGAAGGAGAAUGGAAAAGAGAGAAACAUCUUUGCCUAAACGAUUUGCAAGCAUCUGUGCUUUAAGCUACUUUUUAUGAACACUCCUUAGUAAAUGACUCAAGGUUUGCAAUUAAUGAAUUUUUCUGGACAAAAUCAACAAAGAUACAACCCGUCCAACAUAUAAAGAAACAGAAACAAAAAACACCUCUUAAGAUGUCUGUAGCGAAUUGAGCGGAGACUCACCUCUCACAGCCAGUUCUGCUUUCAAGCUGUGGAGAGGCUUGUUCUGAUCGGACAGACAUUUCUCAGGGAAACAUUUCUGUCUGUCUCUUAGAAGAUAUAAAAAGUGCCAGAGCAGCACCAGCCACGCUUUGUGGAAGGUCAGAAGAGGUGCUGGUUGACAACCCACAGGCCUGCUCAAAGGUGUGCUUUUCCGUUUGGCUCUGCUCUGCUCUUUUUCUGCCUCCAUAUUUCCUCAGAGAAUCAGUCACUCUGUCCUGGUGGCCCUGAUUCUGGAAGCUGAUAUCCCUCUUCAGUCCCAGAGUCAGAGUCAGUGGUUUCCAAAGAAGUUUUUACUAUUCUGAAAACUUAAGCAAGCUUUCUCAUAGUAACUUCGAAACAUGGUAAGAAAUUUUUGCACGUAGGGCCAUCUGCAUGCCUCUUUCACGCUGUGAUGCAAAAGCAAAGAAAAGCAACUUUGCUGCAUUGAGUAAGGGUUGCCAUGUCUGUAGUUACAGGUAUCCCUCAGCAUUCAUGGGGGAUUGCAGUUACCAAAAUCCGAGGAUGCUCAGGUUCCUUAUAUAAAUUGGCAUAGUAUGUACAUAUAACCUAUGUACAUCUUCCUUUAUACUUUAAAUCAUCUUUAGAUUGCUUGUAAUGAUACCUAAUACAAUGUAAAUGCUGCAUAAAUAGUUGCUUUAGCAUGGCAAACUCUAGGUUUGCAUUUUGGAACUUUCUGGAAUUUUAGGGGGGUGGUGAAUAUUUUCCAUCCUGUUUGGUUGAGUGUAUAGUUGUGGAACCCGCGGAUACAGAGGACUGACUGUAUUUCUCUUCAGUCAUUUGUUCAGGUAAGACAGAAUAACACAUAUAAGCAGGUGUUGUCUGGACAUUUUACUGCAGACUAUAUAAGUUGAAAUAAAAGCUAACAUUGUUAUUAGAAUCACAUUAAAAUUAUUUUACCAUUGAAAUACAUUUAAUCAGUGAAGUCUUCCUAGGUAUACUUCACAAAAGGAAAAUGUAGGUCUAUAAAUAAAAUCCCAUUCACUUUUCUUUAUCUUUCCCACCCUCCUUAUUUUUCUCACUCUUUUUUUUGGAACUUCUUGAAACUAUAUUAGUAUACAUGCCUUCUCCUGGAGUCUGUUACACGUUUCUUGCCCAUUGAAACAUGGUAAGAUACAGUCUUGCAAGAGAUAUUUAUUUUAAAGGACUCUUCAGAACCCAGGGAGGCCUCUGCCAGAAUUACUGUGCCCUGCUCACUUGCUUCAGUUGUUCCGACUCUUUGCAACCCUAUGGACUGUAGCCCGCCAGGCUUCUCUGUCCAUGGAAUUUUUCAGGAAGAAUACUGGAGUGGAUAGCCCUUCCCCCCUUCCCUUCUCCAGGGGAUAUUCCCAACUCAGGAAUCGAACUCGCGUCUCCUAUGUCUCCUGCAUUCCAGCAGAUUCUUUACUGCUGAGCCACUGGGGAAGACCCGACAGAAUCACAAAGAAUAGCAAUUCCUAGUUGUGGAAAAAUGCAUCUCUCAGGUUCAGUAAAUAACUAGGAUAGUAUUUAAAUCACUCAGGAUGGAAAUUGAAUGAGGAAGGUUUCAAGCUCUUCUACUAAUUGAAUGGAGAGUUACUGUUUAACAUAAUAUGCCCAUCAUCUUAUAUAUACAGCAGAAAUGCUUAUAGUUAUGUGUUUUGAAUUUGUUUGUAAAAAACAUUCAAGGUCUUGGAAGACAUAAAGGAUGUGUUCCCAUCUUGUGAAUGUUCAGUGGGUUUUUACUGUCUUGUGCUAGCAGCUUUGGCUAUAGCACAUCAUCAGCGCACCAGUGGGAUCACUUGAAUCUUGAGCACCUUUCUUUUUAAAUUGAGAGAAAUAACUGCAGUUCAGGUAAGUUUGCCGAGUGUGUCCGGGACUGCUCUGGUCAUUGACAAGUGACGGCAGAAGCUGUGCUGUGGCGGUCAGCCAAAGCGGUUAUUUAGGAUUGAAGCUAAAACUCCUCCUUCUCCUUCUCCUCC